CUGCCUUGGGAGCCUCAGCAUCGAGGGGCUCUGCUUGCCUGUUAGAAUCUCCUUGGGGCCCUCUAAGUUGCUUUGGGACCUGAGAGUCACUAGAGGACAGGAAAUGUUAGGCAUGGGUUAAAUUCACAAUGGUCACAUAUGUUAACAUUCUGUCUAAAGGCCACUCCACAGUUACCUGGCAACAGCCAGGUAUGCUCUUCCCCACAGUUAGUUACCUGGCAACAGCCAGGUAAGGACCCACUAUAAAAGGGGCUGCUUGCCCCCUCCUCUCUCUCUUGCUUCCUCUCUUUCCCCUUCCCCUUCCCCUCUCUCCACGUGCUCAUGGCCGGCCUCUAUUCUCCCCCUCCUCCCCCUCCUCCUCCUCUUCCUCCUCCUCCUCCUCCUCUUCCUCCUCCUCCUCCUCACCUCUUCUCUCUCUCUCUCUCUCUCUCUCUCUCUCUUUCUCUCUUUAUCUCUCUCUGCCUUUCUCUGCCUCUACUACUCUUUUAACUCCCCUCCCAUGCCCCCUGAAUAAACUCUAUUCUAUACUAUACUGUCCUGUGUGGCUAGUCCCUCAGGGGGAAGGGAUGCCUCGGCAUAGGCCUAUUGAGACAUCCCCUUCCCCCAUACCUCAUCACACUCCCAUAGAACAUAACCCCCAUCUCUUUAUCUUUUAUAAACACAUCAACAUCCAUCUAUCAGAAUAUGAAAUGAGUCAGCAUCUCAAUAUCAUUUCCAAUGUGAGUGAAGAAAUACUAUAAAAGCUACAUGCAUCCAUAAGACAAAGCAUGCGGUUCUUCCUCUACUUGGACGCUGUACUUCUCCAUCCUUCAAGUUUCAGCUCAAGCAGAAGCAUCCUCAGAAAGCCCUCGGAGAUCCACAUUAGGCCACGCACCUACUGAGCCUCUUGUAAGGAUGCCCCAUUGAGCCCGGAGACUCCCGUCCUAUUAAAUGGGUAACUGAAUAGUUGUUAUCUUCAUGGCUCCGAGGGGAGAGUUUGGACCCCGUUAAGAUUAGCAUGUAAACCUUCUUAGCUACCUCUCCAGCACCAUGCCUGCCUGUGUGUUCUCGUGCUCCACCAGGAUGAUAAUAGUCUAACCUUCUGAAAUGCAAUCACGGGCUGGCGUGCAUACUCGGACCUCUGACAGGGAAGCUAUGGAAGAAGACAACUCAGUUUCUGAUGCUUUCUUUACUCAAACCCUCCAGAAUUAAAUGAGAGGUUUUCAGCAAUGGGCAGGCCACACAGUGAUUACAUUUGAAUUUUGCUCCAUAGCCAGUAAAUAAAAUGUUGCACCUGGAUAACUCUGUGCUCCGUCAAAUGCAGUUCAAAGCAGCCAAGAUACACAUAGAGGCAGAAAGUAAUGUUAGGUCAACACACUCACCCAAGAAAGAGCAUGGGUAUAAGAGAAUUGGGUCGAGCAGAAAGAAGUGUACUCCUACAGUGAUGUAGUGCUGCAGGAAAAUGACCGACAGAAUGAUAGCAAUGGAUGCUUUCACAAUCACUGCCAGCCAACAUCAUUGUGGUGGUUUGAAUUUACUUGCCCCCUAGGGAGUGGCACUGUUGGGAGGUGUGGCCUAGAAGGAAGAAGUCUGUCACCCUGGGGGUGGACUUUGAGAUCCUCCUCCUAGUUCCUUGCAAGACAGUCUUCUCCCGUUUGACUUUGGAACAAGAUGAAGAACUCUCAGCUCCUCCAGCACCAUGCCUGCCAUGCUCCCGCCUUGAUGGUAAUGGACUGAACCUCUGAACCUGUAAGCCAGCCCCAAUUAAAC
rnacentral:lncRNA from 1 species